rnacentral:lncRNA from 1 species
UCCUCACAUCAGAAAUUUCUAGGUAAAUUACAAAACAGCAUUACCAACCUUAAUUAAAUCGAUCAUAACUUUAUGUACAAAUAUCCAAAUGAUGAAUGGUUUAGCUUUCUAGAAACUAGAAUUAAAGGACUACAAUUUUCAUAUUUUUCAAAUUUUCAGAUUCUUUAUAGAAUUCGAGAUAUCAGCUUCCAAAGUAGCUUCCUCGAUUGCACCAUUGCUGUCCAAAACAGCAGCAGAAAAAGCAGUAGUUUCUUUUGUCCGAAAUCCAUUCCGUUAACCUUCCGAAAUUCAUUCGAGACUCUCGAGACCUUAACCAAUUAUACCAACAUGUUCUAAAAUACAAUACAAACUUAAUUGAGGCUUCAAACCACGUCAAACAACGCCGAAAUUAUGAAUCGCGCAUCCAAUCGAAUUAUGAGUUUUCAAAUCUUCCAACUUCUAUAUUUUUGCGCCGAAACAUAUCAAAUCAAUCCGGAAUGGCUUCAAAUUUUGCGCACAAGUCAUAAAUGACAUAAUGGAGUUGUUCCAAUUUUCAGAAUUAGAUUCCGACCCUAAAAUCAAAAAGUCAACUCUCGGUCAAACUUUCCAAAAAUCUUCUAUUUUUCAACUUUCGCCAAAAUGCGCCGUAUUGUCCUACGAACUUCCAAAUCCAAAUCCGAACAUGAUCCUAACUACAAAAUCACCAUACAAAACUAUUGGAAUCAUCAAAAUUCCAUUCUGGGGUCGUUUGCUCAAAAGUCAACUCUUAAGAUGAAGGCCUUAUCUUAAUGCUAAAACCAAGCGACAUAUAUGCUCCUAGUUCCAUCAAUAGUUAAGUUAAGAAAAUUUCCAAACAGUAGCGUAGAAACUCUUUUAUUCACGAGUAACUAAUAAUUUAAAACAGAACGAUCCAUUUGUCAAGAACUUUUACUUUGAGAAGCUAAAAUAAUAGUUAAAAAGAAACAGUAUUCCUAAAGACAAAAUUAUUUAAAAAUGAUAAAUGGCGAAGCAGAAUAUGAAUUUCUUUUAUACAAAGAAAAGUUAAUGUUGUUGUUUCACAAGUUUCUUCAGUUCAUGGGAUACUGAGAACAAAGUAGAGGAAAUUCACGUACUUAUGCAUAGAAGUUUCUUGAAGGAUUCUGAAAUUCAUCGCCAAUUAGUCAACACUAUCAAGGAGCUGCUGCAACAUCUCUAUAUUGUUGGACAAUGACUCAAUCCCUGCAUACUGAACAAACUUAGAUUCACAUAGUAAGUUUUGGUGAAAAGAGCCAGGUAUGACAAUUUAAGCUGUCGUGCUAUGGAUUAGAAACACCAAAUAUUUCAAACGUUUCAGUUCCAAACAAAAUGUGUCAGUAAACAGAAAAUUGAUGCUAUCAAAUAUGCAAGAGACUACUACAGGCAUGACAGAAAUUAUGGCAAAUAGAAUUUGGUCUACUGAACAGUAUUGUUAAAAGGUACAGUAGACGAAUCGUGUGGAUAUACAGAAAUUAAUUUUAUUAACCUACAGUAUAGAGAAUUUUGAAGUUCUAGAAUUAUUAAUUAUACUAACCUAUGUUGUCAAUUUUAAUUUCUUUUGGUGUCUAACAUAGCCAUAUAUUGGUUGCAUGGAGCCAACAGAAAGGAAAGAAUUAAGAACAUGCAAGAUAAAAGGCAUCAUAAUGAUAUUUAGACUCUCACGUUUUCUGGUGCAAAGGUUUUCAGAACCAACUCGAAAUACACUACCUAGCAAAAGGAGAUAAUUAUUUUCUUGUGACAUACAAUUCAUCGGUAAUACUUCAAUUGCCAAUGAGGUCAUUCUUGCGCUUUUAAGUAACAACUUAUUCUUUCAAUUAUCUUAUUUAUAAGGCCCGAAAGUAAAUUGGCUAAAUUUGGUAAGAAUUACAUUAAAUUAUUCUGUAUUUUCUUUACCUAUUUUAAUUUUUAAAAGGAGUAAAUACAAAAUAGUUGUCUGAAUAGUUCCAAUUCAAAAAACAAUAAUCGUCUGAAUAGUCUAUUAAAUGUAAUGUUUCACUACCAAAAAUCACAAGUGAGGGACAAUAGAAAGAAACAAAUACUAAUGUCUUUCCUUAAUUCUGUUGUUAACCAAUUCAGACAUACUUUUGUGUGCCAUUCUUCCAGCUAUAAUCCUAUACAUAUCUGCUUACACGCUCGUCAUAUAAAUAUACGGAUUACUCAAAAAGUUGCUUCUUUAAAUUAAAACUUGUUACAUGUUCUAUCUAGCUCCCAGCAAACAGAGAAUUUAAGGAAUUCACCAAUGGCGUCCAGUGAUCUACUUUUCAUCUAACUCACCUUGAUUUCCAUCAGCCUUGUUGCCAGAAAACCCUAUUGUUUCUUCUUUUUAGUUAAAUCUUCAAAUUUAGAACAAACUACUCUAUUGUAGGUUUUUAGAUAAAAAUCUAAGGUAACUUGUCUUUUGCCAACUCCAAUGUAUAAAUAAAUGAAAGGCGAAAUGGCUUCGUGGCCACUUAAACUUGUAUUAGAUUUUAAAGCCAAUAUAUAAUCUUUUGAUUUUCCCAUUUUAGCACCUCAACUCAACCAAUUGAGUAUAAAUAAACCCCUUCGUCAGAGCGUGUAGCUCAAUUGCCUGACAGGAAGAACACGUCAAAUUCUAAGACCAUUUAUUAUUUUACAUGUGUCAUUUGUGGGUCCCUUUUCCUUAAACUAAUUUAUCAAAAUUUCUUUCUUAUUUUACUUCUUUCACUGUUUCUUCUACAACUUUUAGCACUGCAAUCCGAGAAAAAAAAUCUCAGCCAUAACCUGACCACAUGCCUCAAUCACCCAUGAACUUCCAUAAAAUUCAUUCCAUCUUUCACUUUUUAUAAAAUCCAUAGAAUUCAUACCCCAAUUCAUAGAGCCGAUGGGGAACCUGUUAAAAUUCCAUCAAGGCAUCAAGACAGCCGGCGAGGCUAUGUCCAAAGAGGACAUUAAUGGUGAAAUCAAAAAGAGAGAAGCAGUCGGACUCCGUAAGUGGGAUUUUUCAGCUAAAACUCGACAAUUUUUCAAUGGUCUUUCUCUUUUCUCUAUCUAUCUUCUAGUCUGAGAUGGAUACAAAAAAGAGAGAUGGAAUUAAUAUGGGAGAAAGGAUUGACAGAUUUUUCUUGACAAAAUUCAUUGCUUUUUUUUGUUUUUCACUACGCUGGGUUUGAAACAAAAAAAGGAAGAGGCGGGGAAAGAUUGAAGUGGGGGAGAAAGAAAAGAAGGGGAAGGUGUGGGGCAGACGACAAUGGGAAAGGGGAAAAGAAACAGGAAGAGGUUAGGGGAAUAAUGGUAUUACUGAUUUGGGGUGGGGGUAAGGUGGGGUGAGGGCUUAUUUUCUUUCUUUUUCAUUUGCAAUUAUUUUUUUAUAUUUUAGAUUUUUUAAAAUCAAAAUAAUUGUAUUCACGCAUUUAAUCUAAGUGACUUGCACACUCUUUGUCCACAUCACCUCAGUCACUGCCACAUGUGCAUGAUUAACAGUCAAAUAGGUUUAUUAGUUACCAAAUAUGUGAGUUUGAGUGUUCAAAUGGGAACGGUGUAAGUUUGUGUAUCGCCUUUAUAUAUGACAGCAAGUUUAAGUGGCCACAAUGUCAUUUCGCGAAAAGGUAACCAAAAUAAUUGGAAGAACAUAAGUUUAUUUCUGACCUUUGGUAAUUUUGUUCACAGAGCCUUCAUCUAUUCACAUUGAGUUCUUCUUAAUACCAUUGACUGCUAUAAAAUUGAAACACUUGUGACCGCAUAAUUUUUGUUUACAGAGUCCUUCUGUAUUCUAUUUGAGUAGUUUGUAACCGAAGAGCCAAAGACACAUGACUGUAAAAUAAAAAAUAGAUAGAAUUCAUGAAACAAAUCUGGACAUCAAAAAGAGGAGAAAGCUGAAAUAUAUUAAUCAAGAGAAGCCGAGAAGAACUGCAAAACAAACCCUAAUGACUCUUUUUGAAGUGGGGAGAUAGGAAAAAAUUUGACAUCCGUAAUUUCCCUAUCUAUCAUUAAAUUCCCCCAAAUUAUGAAUUGCACUAUUAGUUCUUGGAGAAAUUAGAGUUAGAAAGUUAUGACCAAUAAAUAAAACAGAAGAAAAAUGAAAGAACAUUUGAAGAUGAGCGCACAUAGGUGUGAUCAAGAAAACAGUACGCAUCAACUUUUUGCAAAUAAAAUUGGUAACAGAUAUAAGUGUGUGAGAGAGCGAGAGGCAGAGGUGCAAAAAGAUCAAGAUUAAAUUUACAAGUGCCAACUACGGUAAAUUAACUUUCACUAUUCACGUCAAGACAUAGCGAACACAAAACCCCUAAAUUUUACAUUGAAAACUGAAAUAUAGACAUGGUUAUAAAACAGAGAAAAUAAAAAAUUCACCUAUGAAAUCCACCAAAAAUAAAGGAAAAAAGAAAGAGGAAGAAGAAGAAUGCCGGAGAGCUGAGCGAAGUAACAAAAAAAAUUCUCCUCUCAGAUUCAACAGCUUCCUAUGAGAAUUGAGCGAUUGCGGGCAAAAUCAGUAGAGGCAGAGAAUUGAGAACUGGG